rfam:Candidatus Caldiarchaeum subterraneum DNA, complete genome, from subsurface mine microbial mat.
GGGCCGGUGGUCUAGCCUGGUAGGACGCUGCUCUUACGAAGCAGAGGUCGGCGGUUCAAGUCCGCCCCGGCCCA